rnacentral:rRNA from 1 species
GAUGAACGCUAGCUACAGGCUUAACACAUGCAAGUCGAGGGGUAACAAGAGAAAAGCUUGCUUUUCUUGUUGACGACCGGCGCACGGGUGAGUAACGCGUAUCCAACCUGCCUAUAACUAGGGAAUAACCUUGCGAAAGUAAGACUAAUACCCUAUGAUUUCCUUUGAUGACAUCAGAUUAGGAAUAAAGAUUUAUCGGUUAUAGAUGGGGAUGCGUCUGAUUAGCUUGUUGGCGGGGUAACGGCCCACCAAGGCAACGAUCAGUAGGGGUUCUGAGAGGAAGGUCCCCCACAUUGAAACUGAGACACGGUCCAGACUCCUACGGGAGGCAGCAGUGAGGAAUAUUGGUCAAUGGGCGGAAGCCUGAACCAGCCAAGUAGCGUGCAGGAUGACGGCCCUAUGGGUUGUAAACUGCCUUUAUACAGGAAUAAAGUUAGCCACGUGUGGUUAUUUGUAGGUACUGUAUGAAUAAGGACCGGCUAAUUCCGUGCCAGCAGCCGCAGUAA